GACCACUCUCUAUAGGAAGCCCGGGGCUGAAUUCUGAGCUGAAUGGAGCGCUGGACUGUGAAUUCUUUGAGUGCAGACCUAAAGAAGGAAGGACUUGCUUUGGGGUCUCACUAAGUUGCAAUGAAUGACAUUUAACUUGUAAGUCUCCUGCCUCAGUCUCCCAAGUGAUGCCCAUGAUGCCCAGCUGCAACUAUCUUCUUUUUAUGAAGCAGUGGGAAUUGAAUUUUGGACCCUGUGCUCACCAGGCAGGUGCAGCGCCACAGCUACAUUUCCAAUCCUAUGCUGCUAUUCUGAAGGCCCAAGUGGCUGCAAGAGAAGAAGUGGAAUGGGAUGUGGAAACAUCUUCCAGAAGUGAAGGGUAGGCUCUCCAGCGUCUACAACAGCGUGGGCACAAGUCAAUGAACAGAUGACCAAACGAGAUGGUAGACAGUGGCAACACCAUAUAGUACUGUGACAGGGUGCGCACAGGGAGUCACUGGAGCCCAGAGGAGUCAGCCACCCAGCAUAAUAAUGGAAGACAAUGGAUACUGAAGCUGGCUACACAAAGGCUGUUUCUUCCCACUAGAAGCAGAAGAGGAUGUUGGAGAGACUGAAGGCAUGAGAAGGCCUUAAGACACCCAUGCUGUGUGGAGAGAGAGAGGGCCACGCAACAAGGAAUGUGGGUGGCUCUAGCACAGAGCGUGGGCUUUGGCUGACAGCCAGUGAGGAUGUGGACUCUGACAAGUCCUGGAUGAGCUCGGAAGUGAUUCUUCUCCACAGGCACCAGUACUGGGCUGUGAACCCAGGGCCUCACACAUGCUGGGCAAGCACUCUACUACUGAGGUUCACCCAGGCCUGGCAAGGGAUGAGAGUCAGGGUCACGGCUGAGACCUGCCAAGCUCUACCGUACUCUCUCUGAGAAACUGCCAGAUCAGACCAGUAGCCUGAUCAAUUUCCUGACAAAGUUGGCCCCAUUUCUGAGCCCCAACAAUGCCUGGAUUCACCACAAGGGGGCUCCAAGCACCAGUUCCUGAGGCCAGAACUUUCAGGCCUUUGCAAAGCUGGAGGCCAAGAUCCCUAAGGGUCAGGUACCAGUGAGGAAUCUCUGAGCCUUGGCCUGCAGAUGACCCAGAGGCAUGGAGGAAACCCAGAAGCCUGAAGAGGUCAGGGGCUUGUGAAGCAGUCACCAGGAGAGGAAUGCCUUUCUAUGAGAGAGAAACCAGCAAUGCCAGCUGUGGGAGCCGGGCAAGGUACUCUGAGCUCCAUCAGCUCCUUCAUAAAGCCACACCCCAAUCCUGCAAGGCAGGAAUUAUCACCCCACCCACAACCACUUUCAGGGUGUCAAAAGUAUGGCUUGAGAUGAUUUGCCCAAUGUCACGUGGCCUGCUCCAGUUCACUCUGGGCUUGUGUGACAAGGAUCCUUCUUGCUAUUAUUCAGACAGCCUCUGGUCCCUGAGCACCGACUUCCUUGGAGAAACUGAGGCAGUAAAGAAGGGCAUACCUGCAGUUGCUGUAGCUCACUCAUGUUGCUUUCGCAUUGAGCCAGCAUGUCCCGCAUCUGGUUCUCAUGUUUUUGUUGCUGCUGCAGCCGCUCUGACUUCUGCCUCUUCUCCUCCUGCUGGGAGAACUGCACAAGACAGAGCUUGGGUGCCUCGGGGCCAGAGGCCCUGCUUGGUUGGGGCACCUACCUUACCUUGCCCCCGGGAAGCCAGCAGAGGGACUGGUCUGGGCACAGCCCAAGUGUCCAGCACAGCCUCGGGCUCUACCCCUAUGGUUUUGUUCCUUUUGUUUUGUUGUGGUGCUGCGUACUGAACACAGGGCCUCCAACAUGACAGGCAAGUGCUCUACCCCUGAGCAACCACUGACUGAAGUCGUCACUCUGAGCUGGCACCCAGGUCCUGCCCUAAGAUUGGAGGGGACCUGACACUGUAAUGUGACAUGUGCUAGGACAGGGUGCACAGGGAUCACGGAUGCCUCGGCCACACACAUGAUGUGUUAGUGGGGCCUUGGUGGAUGAAAGAAGGGGCUGACCAGCAGAGGAAGCUGCAGUAUAAAAGUACUAGUGUGGGAAAGGGAUGGUGUGUGACAAAGUCCACAGCACAAUGCCACACCCCUUGUGUUCACCAGGCCUGGAUUCACUGUGGGGCUGAUGAAGCUUCCAGGCUAUGACUUGUGACUUGCACAAGAUCUCAUGCACACCCCCCACCCAAGAUCUCAUGCUACAUCUUAUAUUUUAUAUUCUCCCAAAUACGAGGUCCGGGCCCCACCACUCCUGUUUCUGUGCCCACUCCUACAUGGCCCUGGGCACCAGGCCCAGCUCCCACCUGCUUGAUCUUCUCGCGCUGCUCAGAGGCACUGCCCCCUCCAUUGAUGUGCAGAC